UGGGGAAUCUUGCACAAUGGGGGCAACCCUGAUGCAGCGACGCCGCGUGAGCGAUGAAGCCCUUCGGGGCGUAAAGCUCUUUCGACCGGAACGAUAAUGACGGUACCGGGAGAAGAAGCUGCGGCUAACUACGUGCCAGCAGCCGCGGUAAUACGUAGGCAGCAAGCGUUGUUCGGAGUUACUGGGCGUAAAGCGUGCGUAGGCGGUUUUCUAAGUUCGGUGUAAAAUCUCCCGGCUUAACUGGGAGGGUGCUCCGAAGACUGGGAAGCUGGAGUGUGGGAAAGGCAGGCGGAAUUCCUGGUGUAGCGGUGAAAUGCGUAGAUAUCAGGAGGAACACCGGCGGUGUAGACGGCUUGCUAGACCAUAACUGACGCUGAGGCACGAAAGCGUGGGUAGCAAACA
rnacentral:rRNA from 1 species